UAGCAAACCCAGAAAGAAAGAGAGAUGAGAGAAGUUUUCUGGUGUAAUAAUGGCGGAAGAGGAUGAUGAUGGACAGGCAGACCAGAGUGCAGCUGGAGAAGACUGAACCAGUAGAGUGACAGAGGAGGGAGGGCGAGAGUACUGCAGAAGAAGAUGAUGAAGAGGAAGAUGAGCUGUUUGACGCUGUGGCUGAUGAAAGUGACAGCCUUUUUCUUUUGCUUUUCAUGUUUUUCUUUUCGGGUGACUGGAAAGUGAGAGGUCAUUUUAUUACCCCGGUGGAGGCAAAAGAUUGACCUCAACAGUAGGGUGAUCGAUUCCGGAUUCUCUAUAUUUUUUAUAAUACUCGGAUCCUACUCUGUAAGGGACGGAUUUCAAGAUUUUGAAACCGGACUUUACCCUGUUGAAUCAUGGAACCGGAACUUAUCCAAAACCUGUAUUAUACCACAGAUUCCGGGUA